AAUGAGUACAUUCAAGACUAGACUAUCUGAAACCAUGAAGGGUCACAAUACAGGAGAUGCAUUUCACUGUAUUAUAACAUUAUUACUUUGAGAUGUACAGAGGUUAUAGUAACAUACCGAAGAUUUUACAAACUCUUGGAUAUGGGGUCCACAUACCUUCUGAAAUGUGUCUGAACAUUCUCCAGCCUUCAACUGCAUUUCAACCAGCAGCAUUUCAGUAGACAGAAGAGAAAGGUGGAUCUGCACUUGAUGCACAGCAAUAAUACAGAUGUGGUGGUAACCGAGCAGUUCCCUGAGUGCCAGACGAUCAGUCAACAGAGGAGGCUGCUACAGGGCGGGGUUAUUGGGAAGAACACAAGAAGGAGCUCCAGAACUGGUGUGUCGUGUAGCACACGUGUUUGUUCAAGGCUCCCGCACUGCAAGCGAACAGAAUACUUUGAAGGAGAGACGCUACUUCAGUUCUACUGACUGUAAAACAUUAACUCAUGUUUUCAGCCAAGUGGCUGCAGCGAAUCAACUUGUGAUUAUGAGCAUUCAACAUUCUGUGUGCCACUUAUGUACCUUCAGCAUCAAUUUUGCAGCUGGCAAACUAUUGCUAUUUAUGUUUUCAGUGCAUCUGAAAUAAUCUAGAAGUUAUUUUACUUCCAUUACACAUUAAGAAAAGAACCAACUGUAAAAUCAUUACUUUGCCAAUUUACUGUGAAACC
ensembl:lncRNA